AUGAAAAUGAUAUGUUGGAACUGCCGAGGCUUAGGUCAGCCUCGGACAGUUCAAGAACUUGUGUGCCUUUUAAAGACACACCGGCCUAACAUUAUCUUUCUUUCUGAAAUAAGAAAAAAUAAAGAGUAUGUUGAGAGUUUGCGCUACCGCUUGGGUAUGAAAAAUGUUUUUGCUGUUUCUAUGCCAGGCAAAGGAGGUGGAUUAGCGGUCUAUUGGGAU
rnacentral:rRNA from 1 species